rnacentral:rRNA from 1 species
CCUACGGGGGGCAGCAGUGAGGAAUAUUGGUCAAUGGCCGGACGGCUGAACCAGCCAAGCCGCGUGAAGGACGAAGGUGCCAAGCAUUGUAAACUUCUUUUGUCAAGGGACAAAAUCAGGCACGUGUGCCUGACCGAGGGUACCUGAAGGAAAAGCCUCGGCUAACUCCGUGCCAGCAGCCGCGGUAAUACCGAGGAUGCGAACGUUAUCCGGAUUUAUUGGGUUUAAAGGGUGCGUAGGCGGACUGUUAAGUCAGCGGUAAAAGCCCGGGGCUCAACCCCGGCGAGCCGUUGAAACUGGCGUUCUUGAGAUGUCGAGAGGUAUGCGGAAUGCGCGGUGUAGCGGUGAAAUGCAUAGAUAUUACGCAGAACUCCGAUUGCGAAGGCAGCAUACCGGCGGCGAUCUGACGCUGAGGCACGAAAGCGUGGGUAUCGAACAGGAUUAGAUACCCUGGUAGUC